rnacentral:rRNA from 1 species
CCUACGGGAGGCAGCAGUGAGGAAUAUUGGUCAAUGGCCGUAAGGCUGAACCAGCCAAGUAGCGUGAGGGAAGACUGCCCUAUGGGUUGUAAACCUCUUUUAUGCGGGGAUAAAGGUGUCCACGUGUGGAUGUUUGCAGGUACCGCAUGAAUAAGGACCGGCUAAUUCCGUGCCAGCAGCCGCGGUAAUACGGAGGAUCCGAGCGUUAUCCGGAUUUAUUGGGUUUAAAGGGUGCGUAGGCGGCCUUUUAAGUCAGCGGUGAAAGUCUGUGGCUCAACCAUAGAAUUGCCGUUGAAACUGGGAGGCUUGAGUAUGUUUGAGGCAGGCGGAAUGCGUGGUGUAGCGGUGAAAUGCUUAGAUAUCACGCAGAACUCCGAUUGCGAAGGCAGCUCACUGGACUGCAACUGACACUGAUGCUCGAAAGUGUGGGUAUCAAACAGGAUUAGAUACCCUGGUAGUC